GAGAAAUAGAGAAAGCAGU
rnacentral:snRNA from 1 species